rnacentral:rRNA from 1 species
UUAGAGUUUGAUCCUGGCUCAGGAUGAACGCUAUCGGCAGGCUUAACACAUGCAAGUCGAGGGGCAGCGAGAUCAGUGCUUGCACUGAUUGUCGGCGACCGGCGCACGGGUGCGUAACGCGUAUGCAACCUACCCAUUACAGGGGGAUAACACUGAGAAAUCGGUACUAAUACCCCAUAACAUCCAGGGAGGCAUCUUCUUGGGUUGAAAACUCCGGUGGUAAUGGAUGGGCAUGCGUUGUAUUAGUUAGUUGGUGGGGUAACGGCUCACCAAGACAACGAUACAUAGGGGGACUGAGAGGUUAACCCCCCACAUUGGUACUGAGACACGGACCAAACUCCUACGGGAGGCAGCAGUGAGGAAUAUUGGUCAAUGGACGCAAGUCUGAACCAGCCAUGCCGCGUGCAGGAAGACGGCUCUAUGAGUUGUAAACUGCUUUUGUACGAGGGUAAACGCAGAUACGCGUAUCUGUCUGAAAGUAUCGUACGAAUAAGGAUCGGCUAACUCCGUGCCAGCAGCCGCGGUAAUACGGAGGAUUCAAGCGUUAUCCGGAUUUAUUGGGUUUAAAGGGUGCGUAGGCGGUCGGAUAAGUUAGAGGUGAAAUCCCGGGGCUCAACUUCGGAAUUGCCUCUGAUACUGUUCGGCUAGAGAGUAGUUGCGGUAGGCGGAAUGUAUGGUGUAGCGGUGAAAUGCUUAGAGAUCAUACAGAACACCGAUUGCGAAGGCAGCUUACCAAGCUACUUCUGACGUUGAGGCACGAAAGCGUGGGGAGCAAACAGGAUUAGAUACCCUGGUAGUCCACGCAGUAAACGAUGAUAACUCGUUGUCGGCGAUACAGUGUCGGUGACUAAGCGAAAGCGAUAAGUUAUCCACCUGGGGAGUACGUUCGCAAGAAUGAAACUCAAAGGAAUUGACGGGGGCCCGCACAAGCGGAGGAACAUGUGGUUUAAUUCGAUGAUACGCGAGGAACCUUACCCGGGCUUGAAAGUUAGUGACGGAUCUUGAAAGAGGUCUUCCCUUCGGGGCACGAAACUAGGUGCUGCAUGGUUGUCGUCAGCUCGUGCCGUGAGGUGUCGGGUUAAGUCCCAUAACGAGCGCAACCCCUACCGUUAGUUGCCAGCAGGUCAAGCUGGGCACUCUGACGGGACUGCCGGUGUAAGCCGAGAGGAAGGUGGGGAUGACGUCAAAUCAGCACGGCCCUUACGUCCGGGGCUACACACGUGUUACAAUGGCAGGUACAGAGGGCAGCUACCCAGCGAUGGGAUGCGAAUCUCGAAAGCCUGUCUCAGUUCGGAUUGGAGGCUGAAACCCGCCUCCAUGAAGUUGGAUUCGCUAGUAAUCGCGCAUCAGCCAUGGCGCGGUGAAUACGUUCCCGGGCCUUGCACACACCGCCCGUCA